UUCGGAGGCAAGUUUGGUGUCCAGAUGGACAGAGUUGAUCAGUCUGCUGUAGGCUUUGAAUACCAGGGGAAGACUGAGAAGCAUGCCUCCCAGAAAGGUAAGACGCGAAAGGUGCAGAAAGAGCCCACUCCGGGGGCCCCGAUGGGGAGAGUCACAGCCACCUGAAGCCGUUUCCCCGCGCUCCGGGGGCCCUGAUGGGGAGAGUCACAGCCACCUGAAGCCGUUUCCCCGCGCUCCGGGGGUCCUGAUGGGGAGAGUCACAGCCACCUGAAGCCAUUUCCUGAGCGGUGGCUGUUGCCACAAGGAGGACUCUGCCCUCCUCUUCAUGUUUCUGGAUCAUCUGGAUACCACAUGAUGGAUGUAUUCCCCGUUACACAUCCCCCUCGGAGCCCUGGCAUCUGCUGUCAUUGUGGGGCUUCUCCCCGUUGUAGCGGAAGCCGCCUUCCCUUCAUCUGGGCAGCGCUCCUCCUGGAAAAGAGAGCUCACAGAUUGAUCGGCAGAAAGCUAACUUCCCCCUCUAAGGCUAGAAACCAGAGCUGUUAAAUUCUUGUUUUCCUUAUACACAUACGGUCUUAACUGCUGGUGAUUAAUCUUGAUUACAUCAUGCAGUCUCUUUUUUGAAAGACCAAAGCAUAUCGC
rnacentral:sRNA from 1 species